AGUGAACGCUGGCGGUAGGCCUAAUACAUGCAAGUCGAACGGCAGCACAGUAAGAGCUUGCUCUUACGGGUGGCGACUAGCGGACGGGUGAGGAAUACAUCGGAAUCUACUUAUUCGUGGGGGACAACGAAGGGAAACUUACGCUACUACAGCAUACGAACUACGGGUGAAAUCAGGGGAUCUUCGGACCUUGCCCGAUAUAAUGAGCCGAUGUCGGAUUUGCUAGUCGGCGGGGUAAAGGCCCACCAAGGCGAAGAACCGUAGCUGGUCGGAGAGGAUGAGGAGGCACACUGGAACUGAGACACGGUCCAGACUCAGACGGGAGGCAGCAGUGGGGAAUAUUGGACAAUGGGCGCAAGCCUGAUCCAGACAUACCGAGUGGGUGAAGAAGGCCUUCGGGUUGUAAAUCCCUUUUUUUGGGAAAGAAAAGAAGAAGGUUAAUAGCGCGCUGUUCUGACGGUACCAAAAGAAUAAGCACCGGCUAACUUCGUG
rnacentral:rRNA from 1 species